CGCACGCGCAGCCGGGGCCCUUUCGGGGCGCCGGUGGGCGAGUGGCGCACGGGUGAGUAACGCGUAGACAAUCUGCCUUUAAGCGGGGGAUAACCGUUGGAAACGAUGGCUAAUACCGCAUACAGUCGACGAGCCGCAUGGUUGGUCGAUCAAAGCCUUCGGGCGCUUUUAGAUGGGUCUGCGUCGGAUUAGCUAGUUGGUGAGGUAACAGCUCACCAAGGCGAUGAUCCGUAGCUGGUCUGAGAGGAUGAUCAGCCACACUGGGACUGAGACACGGCCCAGACUCCUACGGGAGGCAGCAGUGAGGAAUCUUGCGCAAUGGGGGCAACCCUGACGCAGCCACGCCGCGUGGAGGAAGACACCCCUAUGGGGCGUAAACUCCUUUUCUGCGGGAAGAACCCCCGGGAUGCCCGGGCUGACGGUACCGCAGGAAUAAGGACCGGCUAACUCCGUGCCAGCAGCCGCGGUAAUACGGAGGGUCCAAGCGUUGUCCGGAAUUAUUGGGUGUAAAGGGUCCGCAGGCGGGAUAGCAAGUCGGAGGUGAAAGCCCUCGGCUCAACCGAGGAAGUGCCUUCGAUACUGCUAUCCUUGAGUCCCGGAGAGGCUCCUGGAAUUCGUGGUGUAGCGGUGAAAUGCGUAGAUAUCACGAGGAACACCAGAAGCGAAAGCGAGGAGCUGGACGGGUACUGACGCUC
rnacentral:rRNA from 1 species